rnacentral:rRNA from 1 species
GCUUACGGCCAUACCACCCUGAGCACGCCCGAUCUCAUCUGAUCUCGGAAGCUAAGCAGUGUCGGGCCUGGUUAGAACUUCGAUGGGAGACCGCCUGGGAAUACCAGGUGCUGUAAGCU